CUGCUGAUUGGCUCCUAUAGGGGGACGGGUCCAGUUUCCCCGGAAGUAGCAUUUUAACGAUGAUUGGCUGGAGGGAUUCCGGCGGCUGCUGCCUAUUGGCUGGAGGUGAAACAGCCCUGGUAUAAUUGGUUGGCAGGCUCCGCUCUGCGCCAAUCCUGGAAUCGGCCGAGAGGGUGGAAUUUAACCCUUUAGAGACCGCGCCCGGCUCGGGCGCUUUAGACCCGCGGUCGGGGCUGCUUCCCCAUCCGGGUCCCCGGGCGCUGUGGCUCGUUCUCCCAGGCCUCAGUUUCUCCGCUGGUCCCAAAGGCCGAGGCCUCUGGGUCCCUCAAGAUCGGUGGCCGCGGACCUCAGUGUCCCCGCCUGCCCAAGCCCCCGGCGCCCCCCAGCCCCAGUGGUGGUGGUCUCGGGUGGGGCCACGAGUCCCCCGAAAGCACAAGUCCCGGGCCUCAGUUUCCCCACUUGUGCCCAUGCGCUCUCGGUUCCCUCCCGCCUCCCCUGGAGGGUGGCCCCAGGCCUCAGUUUCCCGAACGGUCGCGGAGGGCUGAGUGCCCCGACUCCCAGCCCCGAGUGCGCAGGCCCGGAGCCUCAGUUUCCCCGCCCGCCCCAGCGGGCCGAGCCCCCCGCCCGCCCCCCGGCGGCGGCCAAUGGCCGGGGCGGCCCGGUCGGGGCGAGCCGCGUCACGUGCCGGGAAGCGGGAGGCGGCGCGCUCGGGCGCACGGGGCGGCGCGGCCAUGGCAGCUCCGGAGCCGCUGUCCCCGGCGGGCGGCGCGGGCGAGGAGGCGCCGGAGGAGGACGAGGACGAGGCGGAGGCCGAGGACCCGAGCGGCCGGCGGGAGCGGGCGGCGCGCGCGGCGGGGGCGGCGGCGGGGCCGGGCCGGCGGGCGGCGGCGGCGGCCCGGGGGCGCGCUCACCAGGCGCGCGGUGACGCUGCGGUGCUCCUCAAGGACGCGCUGCUGGAGCCCGGCGCCGGGGUGCUGUCCAUCUACUACCUGGUGAGCGCCCCCCGCCCCGCAGCCGGGGCGCGAAGGGGAAACUGAGGCCCGGAGCUCCCGGCUGCAGGCCGGGCCCGGGUGUGGGGAGGGGAAACUGAGGCCCGGAGCAUCCAGACUCAGCACGAGUUCUUCUGGGCGGGAGGACGUCGUCGUUCACCAAACUCCCCAUUCCACAAAGGAGAAACUGAGGCUCGGGAGGACACCCCGGCUCCCUUGGCCGUGUGACCUCGCUCCCAUCUCGGGACCCUGGUGUCCUCAUCUGUGGAAU
rnacentral:lncRNA from 1 species